UUCGUAGGUGGCCAACUAAGCCAGACGUGAAAUCCCUCAGCUUAACUGGGGAACUGCGUCUGGGACUGGAUGGCUUGAGUGCAGGAGAGGAACGCGGAAUUCCAGGUGUAGCGGUGAAAUGCGUAGAUAUCUGGAGGAACACCGGUGGCGAAGGCGGCGUUCUGGACUGCAACUGACACUGAGGAACGAAAGCCAGGGGAAGGCAAAACG
rnacentral:rRNA from 1 species